AUGGNNNNNUCCAGGCAAGAACACUGGAAUGGGUGCCCACACCCUUCUCUAGAGGAUCUUCGAAUAGAAGAUGCAGUUUACAGCAGCUCAUUCUGUAUAUUUCAUCUUGAAGCUGUGGCCCUCCAUCUUGGAUUCAAUGUCAUCAGAUUGAGCCUGAUGGGGAAGCCAAAGCUGUCAAGUAAAGGAGACAAAAGUCUUACUCUAAACCAUUUUAGACUUUCCAUUUCUUAACAAUUUUUUGGCCACAAACUUUUUCAGAUGGAUGAAAGUCUUAGAUCUCUGCUGAAAAAUUCUACGUAUAAUUUCACAGGCUAGAGAGCUAUUGGCAAAAGCAGGACUAAUGAGAAGCUGGUCCAAGGAAGCAGUUGUCAGCUCAGUGUCAACAAGGCCUUGCUGACAAUAGCAGAAAGGAGGGACACUCACAACGCAGUGAGCCUCCUGUCACUGAAGCGCCCCCCGCAAAGUGUGGCCAGUCUGUCAGGACAGCAAUAGAAGGAAUGUUUAAAUGGACCGGAGGCUGGUCAAUGAUUUUAAAGUAUCCUUUUGUUGUAAGACCGUGGGCCUAAUAAGUAAUUUUUGUUUGAUGGCAACACAAAGAAGUUAAAAACUGAAGCUAUGGCUUUAACAGACUAUUCUGCUGAAUACCUAAACACUCGUUAUUUCCCACUUAUAUAUGGUAUCUAUAUCAAGUACUUGAAAACUACCUCAUCCAAAUAUUAAAGGUAUAUUCAACUGUUGAUCCUGAUGUGAUUUAUACACUGUCAUAUAAAAAUAGACCCUUUAUUCCUCUGAAUUCUUAACUAAAAUAUUCCCUAAGAUAAACAGCAUAAAUCUCCGAUCCGAAAACGAUGGGGUCUUUGAUGAAAAUAUUUACUAUUUCCAUAAGAGAUGGGGAGCGGGCAGACGGGACACAGGAGAGAAAUAAACUCUU
rnacentral:lncRNA from 1 species